GGUUGACCUCGGAUCAGGUAGGGAUACCCGCUGAACUUAAGCAUAUCU
rnacentral:rRNA from 1 species